ensembl:snRNA U6 U6 spliceosomal RNA
GUGCUCACUUUGGCAGCCCAUAUACGAAAAUUGGAAUGAUACAAAGAAGAUUAGCAUGGCCCCUGUGUAAGGAUAACACACAAAUUCAUGAAGUGUUCUGUAUUUUU